rnacentral:tRNA from 1 species
GCCCAGGUACUUCAGUUGGUAGAAGGGUGGACUGAAAAUCCAUAUGUCGCUGGUUCGAUUCCGGCCCUGGGCA